CAGCGCCACGAGUGGGAACUAUAAUUAUUGGGCCUAAAGCGUCCGUAGCCUGUUUAAUAAAUUUCUUGUGAAAUUGUUAAGCUUAACUUAACAACGUGCAGGAAAGACUGUUAAACUUGGGACUGGGAGGGGUUAGAAGUAUCUUUGGGGUAGCGGUAAAAUGUUAUAAUCCUAAAGAGACUACCAAUGGCGAAGGCAUCUAACCAGAACAGGUCCGACGGUGAGGGACGAAAGCUAGGGGAGCGAACCGGAUUAGAUACCCGAGUAGUCC
rnacentral:rRNA from 1 species